UACGGGGGGAGCAAGCGUUGUUCGGAUUUACUGGGCGUAAAGGGCGCGUAGGCGGUCGUGACAAGUCACUUGUGAAAUCUCCGGGCUUAACUCGGAACGGUCAAGUGAUACUGUCGGACUAGAGUACAGAAGGGGCAACUGGAAUUCUCGGUGUAGCGGUGAAAUGCGUAGAUAUCGAGAGGAACACCUGCGGCGAAGGCGGGUUGCUGGGCUGAUACUGACGCUGAGGCGACGAAAGCCAGGGGAGGCGAACGGG
rnacentral:rRNA from 1 species